GCGACGCGCGGCCCUUCCGCCGGCCGCCGGGGCCGGGAGAACGCGGGCGCCGCUGCCCCUCCCCCACCGCGGGCGGCUGCCGGAAGAACGCGGGCUGCUGCCUGGAGACCGCGGGCGACGGCUGCGCCUUGCUCGCCUGAGCUCCUUCGCGAGCCGGGACUCGGGCGGCGCUGGGCGGCGGCCUCCUGCACUCCGUGAAGUUGAAUGAGCGUAACAAUCAAAGUGGCCGCCGCCGCGGCUCCUCAGCAGCCCGGAGGCUCAGCGCCUAGACGAGUUCGGGGCAGAAUGAGACCCGAGGUGGGAGGAGAACGGCGGGCCGAGGAUCGGGUCCUCCUCGCUCGAUUCGCCUCCUCCUGGGAUUGUGGUAGCCGGGUCCAAGGGAAGAGGACGGAGCGUUGGGACUGACCAUUUGGAGGAAGGUUGCCCGGGGAUCCUGUUAGUGCACCUGCCCCUUCUCCCCCGACCCCAAGACAUUUUUAACAUCACCUCAUCCCUCAAGUUCGGCUCUCUCAUUCUCCAGUAAAAAAGGCUAAACUGUUGGGUCUGAUAGGACCGCUGGACUGGAGAUGGCACAGGAGCAGUUGAGUAUAAUCACCAUUGAAAAAUGGACUGAAGAAAAACUUAAGGAAAAAGAAAAAGAUGGGCUGAACAUGGAAGAAGUUCACCUGUCAAGCAAAAUUAUCUGCUUCUACUUUUUUGCACAAUGAUAAAUAAGAUUUCCCAUACUAAUAAAAAAUACAUAAAUGUUGAA